rnacentral:rRNA from 1 species
AUGAACGCUGGCGGCGUGCCUAAUACAUGCACGUCGAGCGAACAGACGAGGAGCUUGCUCCUCUGACGUUAGCGGCGGACGGGUGAGUAACACGUGGAUAACCUACCUAUAAGACUGGGAUAACUUCGGGAAACCGGAGCUAAUACCGGAUAAUAUAUUGAACCGCAUGGUUCAAUAGUGAAAGACGGUUUUGCUGUCACUUAUAGAUGGAUCCGCGCCGCAUUAGCUAGUUGGUAAGGUAACGGCUUACCAAGGCAACGAUGCGUAGCCGACCUGAGAGGGUGAUCGGCCACACUGGAACUGAGACACGGUCCAGACUCCUACGGGAGGCAGCAGCAGGGAAUCUUCCGCAAUGGGCGAAAGCCUGACGGAGCAACGCCGCGUGAGUGAUGAAGGUCUUCGGAUCGUAAAACUCUGUUAUUAGGGAAGAACAAAUGUGUAAGUAACUAUGCACGUCUUGACGGUACCUAAUCAGAAAGCCACGGCUAACUACGUG